AUGGUCAAGCUACAAAGGGCACAGGGUGAAUGCCUUGGCACUGGGAGCCGACGAAAGACGUGAUAAGCUGCGAAAAGCCACGGGGAGCUGCAAAUAAGCCUUGAUCCGUGGAUAUCUGAAUGGAGCAAUCCGGCGGAUGUAACGAUCCGUCAUGGCAUACUGAAUCCAUAGGUAUGUCAGGGGAACCGCCUGAACUGAAACAUCUAAGUAGGGCGAGGAAGAGAAAUCAACCGAGAUUCCGU
rnacentral:rRNA from 1 species